UAUAAUACAUUUAGUAAAAAAUGGGGUGUUGCUUGUUAUGGUCAGGCCAGAGGUAAUCAUUGACAGAAAUUCCUUACUGAUUAAAAAAAAAAAAGGAAAAUCCUCUCUAGCAAGUCAGCCCUCAAUCGGCGUUGGUGAAACCAGGUUGGUUCCUGGUUUUCCAGGUGUGAUCGCUGACUGAUUUGGAGUUAACCAGCUUUGUUACCAUAAGGAGCCAGCCCAGAUCUCACAAGAGGUUUGUAGUUUAAUCUGGACUCACCCUUGUGAAAUGCGAAGCACACUGUAGUCACUUGACUGAGAGGCUUGGUUGAGAAACAGGGUGAUCAUGAUUGUGAGCAUGCCCACAUGACCAAAUUUGUUUUUCUCAAAACUUCUGCUGAAUAAAACUUGAAAUAUGACUGUCAGCCUGUUUUCCUGUCUUAAUGAAUUCCAGACAGUUUGUAGAGUGUGGGAGCUUCCAAAACAGAGUGGAAUGACUGACCAGCCAGCAUCUGUUUUGUCAGACGUAGGGCUGAGCUGACCGAACAGUCAUCCCUCCUGAAUCUUCCCAGGUGGCUCACUGCUAUGGAGGGAAGGGCACGGCAGUGUGUGCCCCCCAAAGGAGCCUGUGGGAGAGCUCUGGACUUGUUCCCGGCCAGGAGAUUCACCCACCCUUGUAAUUAAUCCACUUAGGCCCGAGUACCCAAGCGUGUGUUUUUCUGCAUCUGACCUUCUCCAGAGAAAAAGCCCUGAUGCCUUUUGGACAGAGAAUCUGCUCUUCCUGCAAACUGGUUAAGAGCCGUAACCAGCCCAAUCAGCGUAAAGACACUUGAAUAAAGAGAAACAACACAAAGGCAACCAGCAGGAAAAGAAGAGGUUCUGUAGAAGAGAAGGGGUGUGGGGACAGAGUGAUCCCGAAUCCGGACAGGCAGCCUCGGGAUCCUUGGGAGUGAUGCAGGUCAGGUAGUGCUGACAUGUGGGACGCCUACAGGGAGGUUCUAAGAUGGCACGUGCUGUUACAGAAAAGUCAAGAAGCAGAAAUAGCAGAAAUGAAUAAUUCAGAUCUAGUUGAAUUACAAACAUAUUAAGGUAACUACUAUCUACCAGGUGCUGUGUUAAGUAUUUCAAAUGUUUUAUGUAGUAAUUUAAUCCUCAUCUGAGGCAGGUAGGGUCCCAUUUUAUAAAUGAAGAAACUGAGGUUGGGCCAUCUUAAAUCACUUGUCAAGAUCAUUCAGAUAAGGGAGGGACCAAGACUUAAACUGAGGACUGCCUGACUUCAAAGCUCACGCUCUUGUCUACUUGCUGUGGUGGCUGCUGUGUAUGUUGGGGUACCUAGGUGAGUCCGGAUAUGAAGUGAUUAGGAGGACAGCUCAUGUUGAUUUUGGAAUAGAAAGAGGACUAGUUUUUUGAUGAAGUAAAGACAAGAGACUCUGGGUGUGGUUGAGAUCUGAAUCCAAGAUAAACAGUUCUAUCUAUUAAAGGUGCUCCCAGCACACUUGGCUGCACAGUCCUUUGUUUUCAAAGCUGUUUCUGAAGAAGGAAAGGAGAUAGGCUGUGAGGGCUCCAGGAAAGGCAGCAAAAGAUGAGAUGGUGGCUAAUCAUUCUAAAGGGUGUGGUGUGUAAGUUGUACAUUUUCCUCAUUCCUCAUUAAGGAUCUUUGAAUGUUCCCAGUUGAUAAUAUCAAGAAGUCUUGCCUACAAAGCCAUCCUUGUGGUCCACCACUGAACGCGUAGCUCCGAACAUCUUUGUGCUUUUCACGUCUCUCUCUCUUUUCACCCCUAACCUGACUUGUUAAUUGAUUUUCCUGUGUGUCUUCAUCAAGUUGUAGUCAGUCUGUUCCAUUUUGGACUGUUUAUCUUUGAAUGUCAAAGGUCUUGAAACAUAAUGUUGUGUAAUGAACAUAGCUUCUGCCUUGACAUGUGUGUUAAGAGCAUUAGUCAUUGCAAAGCAUCGAGUUAAAGGUUUUCAAUAAAAGGAUAUAAUGAUAUAAUAGAGAGGAAGAAGUUAUAAAAAUACUUAGUUGAUGGCUUUAAUGAUGAGCCAUAUUCUUAGUGGGUUCCAUCAGUGAUGAGUUAGAGAUUCACAAAAUGAAUGUAAAAGCAUUCUAACUCUAAUUAAUGGGAGAGGAGAAAGACCAACUAUUUAAAAACCCCACUUAAUUCUCAUAUAUACCAAGUGUAGACCACCUGAGUUUUCAAUGGGUCUGCUCCGGAUUUGCUACCUUGUGUGUACCUUUACCAUGAGAAACAUUGGCGAUUUCCAUAAGCUAUUAUCUAUAGGGUCUCCUGGGCUGCAUCUUGUCAGAAAGCCUGGAGCCUUGUAAUGACCUCUGUUUGGCAAGCCGAAGGCAUCCUUCGCAACACCAGCAAAGAGCCAGGGGUUUUCUGAGUGAAGGAGAAGAGUCUUUGCCUGUGGAAUUGACUUUAUGAACAGCUUUGGUCAGUAUUAGUCAUUGUGAAACCAUGUGGCGGCUGCCCUGAUUUAUCUCUAUAGAUGUCUCCCAUGGCAGAAGGUUGACUCCUCAGUUCUCCAUGUUUCUGGGCAUCUCAGGAUGUUAGAGGUGCAGUGGUUUGCUUCUUCCUGGGGAGUGUGAAGUAGGUAUUAGUGUUCCCUGAUGAAAUAUUGUCUAGAUGAGUGUUUGGUCAUCAGUCUAACAGGUUGAUGUGUUGUCUUGUUUUCUGGAGUUGGAGGUUUAAAGUGCAGGCACCAUGCAUCCUCUCCUUUACCCUGCCAGCAGUCUUCAGUCUUUCCAGUAAACAACUUCUGUGCCGAAGAGCUUUCCUCUCCUAGAGCAUUUACCAACAAGGACAUUGCUUUAAUGUCAGAAUAAAGGGCAUACACUGCGUCUAAGUGCUGUGAAAAGUUUCUCAGCAGCCUGGAUAUUUUCAAAAGCUGUCCAAGUCAAAAUAUAUCACUUAUGGGAUUACUUUUCUUUUCCAGUAGGACAUCUUAUAAGAAUAAUUAUUUUCAUGACCAAGUUAGGAAUGUAUGACAUUUGGGGGUUGGAGGUAUGUGAAGAGAUGUGUUUUCAUCAGAAUUUCCUUCCAUCUGUGGUGAUAUUUCCAGAAGAAUGAUUGAUCUCCAGUCCUCGUAUUAUGAUUUUGAAUUUAUUUGCCAUCAUUAUUAACUGCAUCUGGAGAUAAGGAUGUAGUUUGGAAUGGGUGCCAGGUAACCUGUGAGGUAAAGUCUGUUUUACCUUUAUGAUUCCUGUCAUGUGCCCGCCCUCCUCCUGGCUGGGUUCCAUGCCAUCUUCAGUAGGCAGCAAUUACUGGUGGUUACAGCAGCCGGCUGCUGCUGCCAGGAGCCUAUUAAUUAUCAGUCCAUCUCUAGUUCAGCCUUCCUGCUGCUGAGGACGGUGCAUGGAAGCGUGUGGCAGAGCUGCGGUGGCAUCUUUGUAAUCACCUCCUUUCCGAGACGGCUUGGUGGACUCAAUGUUCAGCCAAAGGGCCCCGGCGGCCCCGGUGAGUGUUUCCCGCUCGUCGGUGAGUUUGGUCAGUCAGAUUUGGUGUAGGUUUCUUCUCCCUUUGACUCUGACCUGAAGAAAAGUUAAUGGGUGGCAUUUAUGUUGGGAAUUCAGACCUAUUCCCGGUCCAUCUCUGACUCAAGUGGGACAUCUUCAAAAUACUAGGACUUCCGUGGGUUUUCCCAUGAGCUGUUUUCUCUUCUGGGAAAAGGAGGCCAUGGACUUGAGGCUGUGCCUGUCUUCAAGAAGGUAAUGCAGGCAGUAACCGCAGGAACUCAGCUUGCAGCUCACUGUACAGCAGAUGUUUUUACAGAGGGACCGGCUUCAUGUCACUUUGGAUCUUUGCUUCUGGUUUGUAAGUGGCGAGACUCCUUUCUGUUUUCAGAAAUGUCCAGUUCACUGGUUUCAGUGAACAUUUUCAGAAGGGCCAUUGGGUCGGUGAUUAGGUUUGGAGGCUUAUGCUUCCUUUCCCACUUUUUACGUUAGUCUUGGCAGUGUUGGUGUUUGAAACUGUUCAAGUCAUUCGCUGCAAAGUGCAUUCAUUUUCCAUGCUUUCGCACACGCUCGCCAGGUGUCCUCCCAGUUCCUCCCCUCAGAUGAUCUGCAGUUGUGGUUCUGCCAUUCUUGCUGGAUCACACAUAAAUGCUGAUGUCACUGGAUUUUUUCAAUUUCAGCUGGAGGGGAUUAACAGAAAUUGUAAGAGAAUACCACUUCCUCAUUUGGCUGUUUUUCUGGACUGACUAUUGUCCUUUCAAGUCUGUAGGAGGGUGGGGAUUUGGACAUGAGUUCUCUGUCUUCAAGUUAAAACAUCAGUUUUUAUUUUCCUUUUUCUGUUAAUGUUCUUCUUCAAAAAUAAUCUAAUGUCCAGGAUGCUACUCUAAUGUGCCCUGUAAUAACCCUGGGCAGACUUUCCCAGUCCUGACUUUGCACAUCGCUUGUCUUCUAUCCUGGGUGAAGGGUUUUGAAUACUUCCCUUAAGUAAGUUUCCUUAUAUAGAAUAUUUUUUACUCAACCGUCUUUCGCCAACUCCAGGCUGUUACUGGUAUUAGGUGAAGGGUUGUGAUUCUUUAUUAUUUUUUCCCCAGAGCCUUUUGUUCUUUAAGGAAUGCCUUGCUCUGUUCCCAUUGUCUUCUUGUUUAGUAUCUGAGUGUUCUUUAUGACAGUUCUGAUUGCCUGACACCCUUGGACAUUUAUUUUCUUGGCUUUCCAGUCUUGCUCUAGCAGUUGGAGUCGGAGCCCAGGCUUUCUUGUUGUUCUCUUUGUGGUUUGAGUGAUGGCGCCUGCAUCUUUCCUGGGAGUUCUCUGGGCUUCUGGGCGGGCCCUGAGGCCACCUGGAAGUGAGCAUAAGUGGUGGCUGGGCAUGCACGGGUGGCAGUGAUCGAAUUGCAGUCCUGUGGAAACAGAAAUAGAAAGGGUUCAGCGUUUGCACUUUCCUCUGGUGGCGUUUUUGCUUAUUUUGUGUAUUUGGAAAAGGCAGCUGAAUGCAAACUGCUGACUUACUGUUUUCCCUGGAAUGGAAACCAUUUGGAUUAUUUCAAUGAGUUUUAGCUAAGAUUUGUUUGUUCACAGUGUUAGUUUUGUUUUCUGGUAUCCUGUUUAGAAUAAGACAAUAAUGUGUCUUUUUAUUUUAUGGAAAUAAGUGUUACUUGGUGCCUUGGGAUUUUGCAAACCAUGAAUUUGAAAAAUCACAUAUUUACUCCAGAGUCAAAAUGUAAACUCUUUAGUGAAAAUUAUAGAUACAUAAGUAUUUCCACUUGGGGCCAAUUACUUUCUUUGAAAAAACUUUCUUUUGCGCUAAAUUAAGAUUUCAGAGCAGUCCCUUUUCCUGGUUAAUUUUCCCACUAAUUAAUGUUGCUAAGUUUUAAGGAGAAAAAGAGAUUAAACAGAAGAGCAGCCCCAGAUCACAUGCACUACACUAUUUGGUGUAAGGUGGUGACUGGUUCUUCUCACUGUCUUUCAUGACAGAGUAUAUUUAGUUUACCUUUUAGUGGUAAGAUUUGGCCUAGGCAUAAAAUAGAAUGUCUGUACUGUAAGAACUCGUAGCACUGGAGGGAGUUCCUGAGCACAGUUAUGGGGGUUCAGUCUCGAGAGCAGGUGCCCUGCAGGACCUCACACACCUGGCCGCUGCUUCGUUGCACGUUCUGACGAGUUCUUUGAAUUGAGAUUUGGGAAUAGUGCAGCUAUCUGAAAAAUAUUUCAAAUAUUGCCAUGGAGUUUUGGGUUAAAUGUGAGUUUCUAUAAGUUUGAAUGAAUAGAAUAAAGCAGGGAAAGAAAGAAUAGUUAUGAAUUGGUUGAAUUGUUUGGGAUGAAAUAUUUUUUAAAAAUGAAUUUUUAUAUUCAUCUAUGAAAUGUCACUAAAUGUAAGAGCAGAAGGGAGGUGGGCAUUAUGAGUUAAGUAUUGAAUAAGCUGUAAACCCCACUAGGUUGAUGACCAUGACUGCUUUUAUUUACCAUUUUAGUCCAGCCAAUGACAAUAUGCAGGACCUAAUAGUUAUUCAGUGGAUGUUUUGGGACCUCGGUUCCAGGCCCAGCUGGGACCAGAGCUAACCAUGUAUCAAGACUCGGUCUCCUUUAUGUACAGUGAAGGCUCAGGCUAGGCCAGAGGAGUGAGGUGGUGCCAGGACAGUGUGGACGGGGCAGUGCUGCUCCCCCAGGACAGUGUGGACGGGCCGUGUUGUUUCUCCCAGGACAAUGUGGACGGGGCCGUGCUGCUCCCCCAGGACAGUGUGGACGGGGCCGUGCUGCUCCCCCAGGACAGUG